GACGAACGCUGGCGGCGUGCCUAAUACAUGCAAGUAGAACGCUGAAGGAGGAGCUUGCUUCUCUGGAUGAGUUGCGAACGGGCGAGUAACGCGUAGGUAACCUGCCUGGUAGCGGGGGAUAACUAUUGGAAACGAUAGCUAAUACCGCAUAACAGUAGAUGUUGCAUGACAUUUGCUUAAAAGGUGCAAUUGCAUCACUACCAGAUGGACCUGCGUUGUAUUAGCUAGUUGGUGGGGUAACGGCUCACCAAGGCGACGAUACAUAGCCGACCUGAGAGGGUGAUCGGCCACACUGGGACUGAGACACGGCCCAGACUCCUACGGGAGGCAGCAGUAGGGAAUCUUCGGCAAUGGACGGAAGCCUGACCGAGCAACGCCGCGUGAGUGAAGAAGGUUUUCGGAUCGUAAAGCUCUGUUGUAAGAGAAGAACGAGUGUGAGAGUGGAAAGUUCACACUGUGACGGUAUCUUACCAGAAAGGGACGGCUAACUACGUGC
rnacentral:rRNA from 1 species